rnacentral:rRNA from 1 species
CGUAGGGUGCGAGCGUUAAUCGGAAUUACUGGGCGUAAAGCGUGCGCAGGCGGUUAUAUAAGACAGAUGUGAAAUCCCCGGGCUCAACCUGGGAACUGCAUUUGUGACUGUAUAGCUAGAGUACGGCAGAGGGGAUGGAAUUCCGCGUGUAGCAGUGAAAUGCGUAGAUAUACGGAGGAACACCGAUGGCGAAGGCAAUCCCCUGGGCCUGUACUGACGCUCAUGCACGAAAGCGUGGGAGCAAACAGGAUUAGAUACCCUGGUAGUCCACGCCCUAAACGAUGUCAACUGGUUGUUGGGUCUUCACUGACUCAGUAACGAAGCUAACGCGUGAAGUUGACCGCCUGGGGAGUACGGCCGCAAGGUUG